CAGCAGCCGCGGUAAUACGAAGGGGGCUAGCGUUGUUCGGAAUCACUGGGCGUAAAGCGCACGUAGGCGGACUUUUAAGUCAGGGGUGAAAUCCCAAGGCUCAACCUUGGAACUGCCUUUGAUACUGGAAGUCUUGAGUUCGGGAGAGGUGAGUGGAACUGCGAGUGUAGAGGUGAAAUUCGUAGAUAUUCGCAAGAACACCAGUGGCGAAGGCGGCUCACUGGCCCGAUACUGACGCUGAGGUGCGAAAGCGUGGGGAGCAAACAGGAUUAGAUACCCCCGUAGUCCCUGUCUCUUAUAU
rnacentral:rRNA from 1 species